rnacentral:rRNA from 1 species
UUAAGCGACCAAGCGUACACGGUGGAUGCCCUGGCAGUCAGAGGCGAUGAAGGACGUGCUAAUCUGCGAAAAGCGCCGGCGAGGUGAUAUGAACCCUUGACCCGGCGAUGUCCGAAUGGGGAAACCCAGUGUGAUUCGUCACACUAUCGUUAGCUGAAUACAUAGGCUAACGAGGCGAACCGGGGGAACUGAAACAUCUAAGUACCCCGAGGAAAAGAAAUCAACCGAGAUUCCCCCAGUAGCGGCGAGCGAACGGGGAGGAGCCCAGAGCCUGAAUCAGCUUGUGUGUUAGUGGAAGCGUCUGGAAAGUCGCACGGUACAGGGUGAAAGUCCCGUACACGAAAACGCACAGGCUGUGAGCUCGAUGAGUAGGGCGGGACACGUGGUAUCCUGUCUGAAUAUGGGGGGACCAUCCUCCAAGGCUAAAUACUCCUGACUGACCGAUAGUGAACCAGUACCGUGAGGGAAAGGCGAAAAGAACCCCGGCGAGGGGAGUGAAAAAGAACCUGAAACCGUGUACGUACAAGCAGUGGGAGCCUCUUUUAUGGGGUGACUGCGUACCUUUUGUAUAAUGGGUCAGCGACUUAUAUUCUGUAGCAAGGUUAACCGUAUAGGGGAGCCGAAGGGAAACCGAGUCUUAACUGGGCGUUAAGUUGCAGGGUAUAGACCCGAAACCCGGUGAUCUAGCCAUGGGCAGGUUGAAGGUUGGGUAACACUAACUGGAGGACCGAACCGACUAAUGUUGAAAAAUUAGCGGAUGACCUGUGGCUGGGGGUGAAAGGCCAAUCAAACCGGGAGAUAGCUGGUUCUCCCCGAAAGCUAUUUAGGUAGCGCCUCGUGAAUUCAUCUCCGGGGGUAGAGCACUGUUUCGGCUAGGGGGCCAUCCCGGCUUACCAACCCGAUGCAAACUGCGAAUACCGGAGAAUGUUAUCACGGGAGACACACGGCGGGUGCUAACGUCCGUCGUGAAGAGGGAAACAACCCAGACCGCCAGCUAAGGUCCCAAAGUCAUGGUUAAGUGGGAAACGAUGUGGGAAGGCCCAGACAGCCAGGAUGUUGGCUUAGAAGCAGCCAUCAUUUAAAGAAAGCGUAAUAGCUCACUGGUCGAGUCGGCCUGCGCGGAAGAUGUAACGGGGCUAAACCAUGCACCGAAGCUGCGGCAGCGACGCUUAUGCGUUGUUGGGUAGGGGAGCGUUCUGUAAGCCGUUGAAGGUGUGCUGUGAGGCAUGCUGGAGGUAUCAGAAGUGCGAAUGCUGACAUAAGUAACGAUAAAGCGGGUGAAAAGCCCGCUCGCCGGAAGACCAAGGGUUCCUGUCCAACGUUAAUCGGGGCAGGGUGAGUCGACCCCUAAGGCGAGGCCGAAAGGCGUAGUCGAUGGGAAACAGGUUAAUAUUCCUGUACUUGGUGUUACUGCGAAGGGGGGACGGAGAAGGCUAUGUCGGCCGGGCGACGGUUGUCCCGGUUUAAGCAUGUAGGCGGAGGUUCCAGGUAAAUCCGGUACCUUAUUAAACGCUGAGGUGUGAUGACGAGGCACUACGGUGCUGAAGUGACAAAUGCCCUGCUUCCAGGAAAAGCCUCUAAGCAUCAGGUAACACGAAAUCGUACCCCAAACCGACACAGGUGGUCAGGUAGAGAAUACCAAGGCGCUUGAGAGAACUCGGGUGAAGGAACUAGGCAAAAUGGUGCCGUAACUUCGGGAGAAGGCACGCUGAUAUGUAGGUGAAGUGAUUUACUCAUGGAGCUGAAAUCAGUCGAAGAUACCAGCUGGCUGCAACUGUUUAUUAAAAACACAGCACUGUGCAAACACGAAAGUGGACGUAUACGGUGUGACGCCUGCCCGGUGCCGGAAGGUUAAUUGAUGGGGUUAUCCCUCGGGAGAAGCUCUUGAUCGAAGCCCCGGUAAACGGCGGCCGUAACUAUAACGGUCCUAAGGUAGCGAAAUUCCUUGUCGGGUAAGUUCCGACCUGCACGAAUGGCGUAAUGAUGGCCAGGCUGUCUCCACCCGAGACUCAGUGAAAUUGAACUCGCUGUGAAGAUGCAGUGUACCCGCGGCAAGACGGAAAGACCCGUGAACCUUUACUAUAGCUUGACACUGAACACUGGUCCUUGAUGUGUAGGAUAGGUGGGAGGCUUUGAAGUGCGGACGCCAGUCUGCAUGGAGCCGCCCUUGAAAUACCACCCUUUAAUGGCUGGUGUUCUAACGUGGGCCCGUAAUCCGGGUUGCGGACAGUGUCUGGUGGGUAGUUUGACUGGGGCGGUCUCCUCCUAAAGAGUAACGGAGGAGCACGAAGGUCAGCUAAUCCUGGUCGGACAUCAGGAGGUUAGUGCAAUGGCAUAAGCUGGCUUGACUGCGAGCGUGACGGCGCGAGCAGGUGCGAAAGCAGGUCAUAGUGAUCCGGUGGUUCUGAAUGGAAGGGCCAUCGCUCAACGGAUAAAAGGUACUCCGGGGAUAACAGGCUGAUACCGCCCAAGAGUUCAUAUCGACGGCGGUGUUUGGCACCUCGAUGUCGGCUCAUCACAUCCUGGGGCUGAAGUAGGUCCCAAGGGUAUGGCUGUUCGCCAUUUAAAGUGGUACGCGAGCUGGGUUUAGAACGUCGUGAGACAGUUCGGUCCCUAUCUGCCGUGGGCGCUGGAGAACUGAGGGGGGCUGCUCCUAGUACGAGAGGACCGGAGUGGACGCAUCACUGGUGUUCGGGUUGUCAUGCCAAUGGCACUGCCCGGUAGCUAAAUGCGGAAGAGAUAAGUGCUGAAAGCAUCUAAGCACGAAACUUGCCCCGAGAUGAGUUCUCCCUGACUCCUUGAGAGUCCUGAAGGAACGUUGAAGACGACGACGUUGAUAGGCCGGGUGUGUAAGCGCAGCGAUGCGUUGAGCUAACCGGUACUAAUGAACCGUGAGGCUUAACCUU